UUGAACGCUGGCGGCAGGCCUAACACAUGCAAGUCGAGCGGUAGCACAGAGAGCUUGCUCUCGGGUGACGAGCGGCGGACGGGUGAGUAAUGUCUGGGAAACUGCCUGAUGGAGGGGGAUAACUACUGGAAACGGUAGCUAAUACCGCAUAACGUCGCAAGACCAAAGUGGGGGACCUUCGGGCCUCAUGCCAUCAGAUGUGCCCAGAUGGGAUUAGCUAGUAGGUGGGGUAACGGCUCACCUAGGCGACGAUCCCUAGCUGGUCUGAGAGGAUGACCAGCCACACUGGAACUGAGACACGGUCCAGACUCCUACGGGAGGCAGCAGUGGGGAAUAUUGCACAAUGGGCGCAAGCCUGAUGCAGCCAUGCCGCGUGUGUGAAGAAGGUCUUCGGGUUGUAAAGCACUUUCAGCGGGGAGGAAGGCGAUAAGGUUAAUAACCUCAUCGAUUGACGUUACCCGCAGAAGAAGCACCGGCUAACUCCGUGCCAGCAGCCGCGGUAAUACGGAGGGUGCAAGCGUUAAUCGGAAUUACUGGGCGUAAAGCGCACGCAGGCGGUCUGUCAAGUCGGAUGUGAAAUCCCCGGGCUCAACCUGGGAACUGCAUUCGAAACUGGCAGGCUAGAGUCUUGUAGAGGGGGGUAGAAUUCCAGGUGUAGCGGUGAAAUGCGUAGAGAUCUGGAGGAAUACCGGUGGCGAAGGCGGCCCCCUGGACAAAGACUGACGCUCAGGUGCGAAAGCGUGGGGAGCAAACAGGAUUAGAUACCCUGGUAGUCCACGCCGUAAACGAUGUCGAUUUGGAGGUUGUGCCCUUGAGGCGUGGCUUCCGGAGCUAACGCGUUAAAUCGACCGCCUGGGGAGUACGGCCGCAAGGUUAAAACUCAAAUGAAUUGACGGGGGCCCGCACAAGCGGUGGAGCAUGUGGUUUAAUUCGAUGCAACGCGAAGAACCUUACCUGGUCUUGACAUCCACAGAACUUUCCAGAGAUGGAUUGGUGCCUUCGGGAACUGUGAGACAGGUGCUGCAUGGCUGUCGUCAGCUCGUGUUGUGAAAUGUUGGGUUAAGUCCCGCAACGAGCGCAACCCUUAUCCUUUGUUGCCAGCGGUUCGGCCGGGAACUCAAAGGAGACUGCCAGUGAUAAACUGGAGGAAGGUGGGGAUGACGUCAAGUCAUCAUGGCCCUUACGACCAGGGCUACACACGUGCUACAAUGGCAUAUACAAAGAGAAGCGACCUCGCGAGAGCAAGCGGACCUCAUAAAGUAUGUCGUAGUCCGGAUUGGAGUCUGCAACUCGACUCCAUGAAGUCGGAAUCGCUAGUAAUCGUAGAUCAGAAUGCUACGGUGAAUACGUUCCCGGGCCUUGUACACACCGCCCGUCACACCAUGGGAGUGGGUUGCAAAAGAAGUAGGUAGCUUAACCUUCGGGAGGGCGCUUACCACUUUGUGAUUCAUGACUGGGGUG
rnacentral:rRNA from 1 species